CAGUGAGGCUGCUCGGCUAACCACCGAGUCCGCUUUCCAACACCCAAUGUCUACCAACCCAGGUUGCUUCGGCGGGCCGUCCGGCCUAGCUGGCCACUGGCUUCGGCUUGUGAGCGCCCGUCCGAGGACCGCACAAAUCAUGUGUACUAGCAGUCAGAGCUCAAAAUAAAUGAAGCA
rnacentral:misc_RNA from 1 species